rnacentral:lncRNA from 1 species
AUGCGGAAAACAGCAGAUUCAACUGAGCACAGUCCACAAGGACUUUGUAAUGGGGAACCUGAGGCAGGAAGGGAGGUGGAAACUCAAAAGAAUCCUCAACAAGAACAGUUAUUAAUGGAGUUGCCAAGCAGGAAUGGAGAUGCAACAAGAGAACGAGACCCGGGUUGUGUCUGUCCCUUCAGGAAACCAUUAGUAUGGGGCACAGCUGCAGGUCUGGUCGUCGUCAUCAGUGGUUUGGGGGCAGCUCUGGCAGGCAUCGGGUUUGCUGCAGAUCCAGCGUCUCCCUGUGCUGCAGCGCGAGCUGCCGAACCAGCCCUCAUCCAUCAGAAAAGCACAGUCGUCGCCUCCUCUUAUCGGAAACCUGCAACACAGACCCAGGGCAUGGCAGGCACUUGUGAUCUAACCCAGAAAAUGUUACUGGAGGGAGAGCGUAGCACUGGGAUGUGGUCUCCCUCCUUGAUGGGUGGAGAGAGAGCCAUGACCGCCCCCCCCGGCGGGCAGAACCGGGAUACCUGCAGCCACCCCGCCGGAAGCAGGGGGGGCGGGGCAGGAACAGGAACUAUAAAAGGCCAGCCCACUAGCUCAGUUGGGGCAGAGCUGCCAAAGGAGCUGGAUGUCUCUCCCUUGCUGCUGGAGCCUGGACCUGAUGGAGGCUGCUCCCGUGCCAGAGACCGGCAAGGGCUGCCAGACACCAGGGACACGGAGGAGCUGUUGGAGCUACUGCUUGCCCUUUACCCAGGCAAGACCGAUACCAGCCCCAAAAUGCAGGUACCUGGCCUGGGAGUGUAGGAAGGAGCCCAGGGAAGGUGAAUAGGGUUUGGCUGUGUGUGGUGAACUGGGAAUGUUCUUAAUGUUUUCUCUGAAUACGGUGUUGGUGCCUCAGUGUCCCCUAGGCAGUUCUUAAGUAUCUAGGUGGUGGAAUAAGGGUGUGUGAUUGCUGCAGAGCAAGGGGCCAGUGCACCUAAAUGCCUGACCUGCUGUCUCCUAGCAACUGAUGGCCUGGGCCCCCCCUCUGCAAAGGUGCCAGCUGAAGGUGUUGGAGACAAAGAGGUUGGGUGACCUCCUGGCCCAGGAAAGGAACUCAGCAGAGAGGAGGGGCUNUUAGUCUGGAGCUGGCUGGGGUCAAGGGUGGAGGGCAGACCUGGGGGUCUGGCUCACUGCCCCCCAGAAUGGACCCAGCUGAGGGGUCCUGGUCACUGUACCUACCAGCUCUGUUUUAGACCGUGUUCCUGUCAUCGAAUAAAUCUCUGUGUUACUGGCUGGCUGAGAGUCA